rnacentral:rRNA from 1 species
AUUGAACGCUGGCGGCAGGCCUAACACAUGCAAGUCGAGCGGAGCGGCGGACGGGUGAGUAAUGCCUAGGAAUCUGCCUGGUAGUGGGGGAACACGUCAGGAAACGGGCGCUAAUACCGCAUAAUAUAAGAUUAGCCUAGGUCGGAUUAGCUAGUUGGUGGGGUAAAGGCCUACCAAGGAGACGAUCCGACACUGGUCUGAGAGGAUGAUCAGUCACACGGGAACUGAGACACGGUCCAGACUCCUACGGGAGGCAGCAGUGGGGAAUAUUGGACAAUGGGCGAAAGCCUGAUCCAGCCAGGCCGCGUGUGUGAAGAAGGUCUUCGGAUUGUAAAGCACUUUAAGUUGGGAGGCGUUACCAACAGAAUAAGCACCGGCUAACUUCGUUCCAGCAACCGCGGUAAUUC